GAAAUGCGACAAGUAAUGUGAAUUGCAGAAUUCAGUGAAUCAUCGAAUCUUUGAACGCACAUUGCGCCCCUUGGUAUUCCAUGGGGCAUGCCUGUUCGAGCGUCAUUUGUACCCUCAAGCUCUGCUUGGUGUUGGGUGUUUGUCCCCGUCUCCGCGCGUGGACUCGCCCCAAAGUGAUUGGCAGCCGGCGUACUGGUCCCGGAGCGCAGCACAUGUCGCGCAAACGAGUGCCUUGGUACGGCGGCGUCCAUAAGCCCCUCUCUCACGCUCUUGACCUCGGAUCAGGUAGGGAUACCCGCUGAACUUAAGC
rnacentral:misc_RNA from 1 species